GGUGUGUAAGCGCUGUGAGGCGUUGAGCUAACCUGUACUAAUUGCCCGUGAGGCUUAACCAUACAACACCCAAG
rnacentral:rRNA from 1 species